rnacentral:rRNA from 1 species
UACGUAGGUGGCGAGCGUUGUCCGGAUUUACUGGGCGUAAAGGGCGUGCAGGCGGUUUGUUAAGUGCAGAGUGAAAGCUCCCGGCUCAACUGGGAGAGGUCUUUGCAUACUGGCAAACUCGAGGGAGGCAGAGGAAAGUGGAAUUCCCGGUGUAGUGGUGAUAUGCGUAGAUAUCGGGAGGAACACCUGUGGCGAAGGCGGCUUUCUGGGCCUUACCUGACGCUGAGGCGCGAAGGCUAGGGGAGCAAACGGG